AGUUCAGGUUCAGGCUAGUGCAGGUGUUAGGAGUUUCAGUUAGCAGUUUUACUUCGCCAGCAGUGUCUGUUAGAUACGCCGCGAGAAUAGCUCGUCAGGGCGUCGAUUUAGUCCGAGUCCCGCGCUCUGACCUGCUCGUGGGAUGGCACGAGCGUUGUGGGAAGAGUGGCGUCUAGUUCGGUGGCUUAGUGCCCCGUUUUUAGUUGAUGUAAUCAGGCAUAAAAGGUGGAUCAGAAAUACCAGAAAACUGCGGCAGUCGAGCGCAGGCAAAAACCUCUCUCUUCGCCUACCUCUCC
rnacentral:lncRNA from 1 species